AGUAUCCAUGAGGAUGCAGGUUCAAUCCCUGGCCUCAUUCAGUGGGUUACGGAUCCAGCGUUGCCAUGAGCUGCAGUAGAGGUUGCAGACAUGGCUUGGAUCCUGCAUUGCUGUGGCUGUGGUGUAGGCCAGCAGCUGUGGCUCCAGUUUGAUCUCUAGCCUGGAAAUGUCCAUAUGCCUCAGGUGCCCUCAGGUGCAACCCUAAAAAGCAAUCAAUCAAUCAAUACGGCAGACUGACCAGAGAAUGUGUGAGACCAUCCCAGGAGAGGUUCCAACCCUGGGGCUUCCUGGGCAGGUGGCAGGACCAAGAGUGUGGGAAGUUGUGUGAAGGGAACUUGACAAUGGGAGACAGAACACGAGGAUCCAGUGGGUGACUUCUCCCUGCCUGCCUCCUGAAGGGUGGUUCUGAGAAGCUUCAUGUCCACACAGCCUGCCCGGAGACAGUGCACAGGACCAACCAACCAAUCUGCCUUUCUGGCGAGGCUGAGACAAAUCAGGAAAGUCAUGCCGCAGUUCCUGGCAGAUCUGUCAAACAUACUCCCACCUGGGUUUCUAAUCCAGAACCAGCUCGGAUCAGCAAGGGCGAGACUUCCUGCCUGAAGAACACCUACCAAGGAGCUUGUGUCAGAUCAUUUGGGGACUGUCAGCAUGUCUGCAACUCUGUCACAACAAUUGGAGAGUAAUGUCAACAGAAAGAACAAAAAGCCUGAUACAGGAAAUCUUCACGUAUUGAGAUACGGAAGUCCUUCUGACUUACAUAUGCAUUAACUUGAAUUUCAUGCUAACUAAAAUAGCCCAUUUGUGGCCUAUUCACAUAUCUGGUACAUCUGCUUUAAUUAUUAAAGAAAAGAGCCCAUGGACCAGAAGUAAAGAAUGCCCCUGUUAAAAAUGAAGACUAGGAGUUCCCGCUGUGGCUCAGCAGGUUAAGAACCCAACAUAGCGUCCGUAAGGAUGUGGGUACAAUCCCUGGUCUCACUCAGUGGGUUGAUGAUCUGGUGUUGCCAUGGCUAUAGCGGAAGUCCAUAUUAAAAAAAAAAAAAGGAAAGAAAGA
rnacentral:lncRNA from 1 species